UGCCGUUUCAGAGCACUUUAUUGUUCAUUGACUUAAGUACAAAAACUUUUUCAAUUGGAGAAACAAGGCCACAAAAUUAAGGUUUAAUAAAGAUUUUACAGUUUGGAGAGUACAAUACAUAGUACUACAGUACUACUACAUAGUACUACAGUACUACUACAUAGUACUACUACAUAGUAGUACUACAGUACUACAGUACUACUACAUAGUACUACAACAUAGUACUAGGUUUUACAAUGUUGAUGCAGCUUGAAAGUUGUGUGUGUCAGUGGGACCCGAUUCCCAUAAUGCAUUACCUUUGUCAGGGAAUACAGUUGAAGUCAGAAUUUAACAUACACUUAGGUUGGAGUCAUUCAAACUCAUUUUUCAACCACUACACAAAUGUCUUGUUAACAAAUUAGUUUUGGCAAGUUGGUUAGGACAUCUAGUGUGUGCAUGACACAAGUCAUUUUUCCAACUAUCUGUUUUAGAUUAUCUCACUUAUAAUUCACUGUAUCACAAUUCCAGUUGGUCAGAAGUUUACAUACACUAAGUUGACUGUGCCUUUAAACAGAUUGGAAAAUUCUAGAAAAUGUCAUGGCUUUAGAAGCUUCUGAUAGGCUAAUUGACAUAAUUUGAGUCAAUUGGAGGUGUACCUGUGGAUGUAUUUCAAGGCCUACCUUCAAACUCAGUGCCUCUUCGCUUGACAUCAUGGGAAAAUCAAAAGAAAUCAACCAAGACCUCAGAAUGUGUUUUUACGUACUUUGAUGAGAAAAGUGCAAAUCAAUCCCAGAACAACAGCAAAGGACAUUGUAAAGUUGCUGGAGGAAACAGGUACAAAAGUAUCUACAUCCACAGUAAAACGAGUACUAUAUCGACAUAACCUGAAAGGCCACUCAGCAAGGAAGAAGCCACUGCUCCUAAACCGCCAUAAAAAAGCCAGACUACGGUUUGCAACUACAUAUGGGGACAUAGAUGGUACUUUUUGGAGAAAUGUCCUCUGCUCUGAUGAAACAAAUGGAACUGUUUGGCCAUAAUGACCAUCGUUAUGUUUGGAGGAAAAAAGGGGGAUGCUUGCAAGCCGAAGAACACCAUCCCAACCGUGAAGCACGGGGGUGGCAGCACCAUGUUGUGGGGGUGCUUUGCUGCAGGAGGGACUGGUUCACUUCACAAAAUAGAUGGCAUCAUGAGGGGGGAAAAUUAUGUGGAUAUAUUGAAGCAACAUCUCAAGACAUAAGACUUAACUGACCGGGGAAUUUUUUACGAGGAUUAAAUUUCAGAAAUUGUGGAAAAACUGAGUUUAAAUAUAUUUGGCUAAGGUGUAUGUAAACUUUUGACUUCAACGGUAUAUUCCCUGUAUAGUGCACUACUUUUGAGAGAAGGGUGCUACUUAGGACACAGCUGUUGAUUUAGAAGCACACAGCCAGUCUUCCUGUGAUCUACCAUUAAAUAACAUGACUAAUACAGUAGUGUUCGGAUCUCACAAACAAGAUGGACGACAAAGAUAGUCUCAAAAAAAAAAUCACUGUCCCGAAUGACCCCCCAAUUCCCUAUUUAGUGCACUACUUUUGUCCUCUGGUAGUGUACUAUAAAGGGAAGAGACUGUCAUUUGGGAUAUACCUUUUGUAGAGUAUCUGCUGAGUAGCCUUGAUUCAGCAUUAUACACAUUAUGCGUCAUAAUACACAAGUGGCUAUCAUCAACGCAGUGUUUAUAUUAUUACUGUGUUCCUGCACUUUAACCUUUUAAAAGAACAACUCUAAAAACAAAAAAAAAGAUCAACUUUUUAAAACAUUUAUUUUAUACACAAACAAAAAAAAGGGGGAAAAUUAAAUAGCUACAUGUCAUUAAACAAAUUGAUCCUCAAAAAAUACCUACAAUUUUCUCUGUACAAUCGUUACGCACAGCGUAAUGAUGGUCUCAUAAUUAACUAUAUAUAAAAAGUUGUUUUUUUAUUAAGUGAUUUUCCUACAGCGUGUAGGGCAUUGUGUUGCCAUAGCAGAAUGAGUGAGAGCCUCCAAAUGUUUUUGAAAAAUUCUGGUAGCUUUCCAAAAAAAUAAUAAUUCCCAGGUCACCGGAAAUGUGCGACCCUAGUGACGCGUUUUUAUAACGAAAUGACCUCUGGACACUACACCUCUUCCCUUUCUGUUCAUGCACAUUAUAAUUGAUCAUUCUUUUAAAGGACAUUAUCAACGUUUUAGUUCUCUCAUAACAUUUACCGAAAGUACAAUGUGAAAAUCAACCAGUCAUCUUUGAAGAACUAUACAUUAGUUUUUGUUUAAAUCUGAACUCAGAUUAAAGUCAAUAAUAAUAACAUCAACUGACUAGCAGCUGGAUCAGCUCUGAGAGAAUAUGGUUUAGUUUCAGCUGGAUCCGGUCUCUGAGAAAAUAUGGUUUAGUUUCAGCUGGAUCCGGUCUCUGAGAGAAUAUGGUUUAGGUUCAGCUGGAUCCGGUCUCUGAGAGAAUAUGGUUUAGGUUCAGCUGGAUCCGGUCUCUGAGAGAAUAUGGUUUAGGUUCAGCUGGAUCCAGUCUCUGAGAGAAUAUGGUUUAGGUUCAGCUGGAUCCGGUCUCAGAGAGAAUAUGGUUUAGGUUCAGCUGGAUCCGGUCUCUGAGAGAAUAUGGUUUAGGCUCCGUCCCUAAUGACAUCCCUAAUCGUUAUGCACUAAAUGUGGCCAGACAAAGUGUGAAGCUUUACAUUGGGAAUAGGGUUCCAUGUAGGACGUGUAGCCUUGGUGUAGUUACAGGAACUAUAGAUUUGACUUGGGAUGAUGGAAUGUAAGGGCAUAUAAGAGCUGUAUAGACAGUGCUUCAUCAACCCUUAAGCUUUAACCAUGUUCUGUCACCUUCACCACUAGAUUUGCACCUUACGGUUACAUCCCCCAAAAUUCUCAGGUUUUCUAUCAAUUCUGGUUGUUUGGAAGAUUUGUGGAUUUUCCAACCAGGAUUUUCCGGAAAAAAAUCAAGGAAUUUUCAGGGAAUGUUUCCGGAAUGUUGCAACACUAAAUCACCACCUUUCUGUUACUAAGUUAGUAGCUAUACUAAUACUGAUAUGAAUGCAACACCUGUCCUAGGUUCCCUAUAGGAAGGAAUGUCUGCUGCCUUGGUACAGGAGUUAGUAAAACAAGUUCGUUUCACAAGCUGCAGCUGCCUAUCUACCCAGUGAGCAAAAUAGUUUGAAAGACUUAUUUUCAACAUCUUGUGCUCAUAAGAUGCAUUCCGCUACACACCCACAGUUGUUCAUCAGAGAAGUAGAAACAACAACGACAUGAAAAACACAACAUUUAAAAAAAAACUAGUGGACAGAAAGAAAAAGAAGGUUCUGAUAAAAGGUCGACUCUGGGUCGAUCUCGCCGGCUGGUUUGUUGCGUUAAUUCCAUUUUCAGUCAUGCAGAACAAAAAACGCAGUAGCAUCCAGGGAUUAUCAAUAACGCUAUAGAACGAUUACGGUAACGUUACAGAAAACAUAUUAUUGUUAUAGAUUAGAAUCUAAACUGAUCAUAUAGAAGAGUACAGAAGGCCUGUCCGGAGGCUGUCCUCUGUGUCGCUAGCUGGUUGCUACCAGAGAGAACUGAAGAAUACUACAUAUUAACAUGGAGUCUAACUGGACCAGCAGUAAAUGCAGCUACAACGGAUGUUGUUAUUGCAGAAAACAAAUAUAUAAAACAAAAACAAUGUAACUUGUAAUAAGAUUGAAAUGUCUAAUAAACAUGAAUAGAUACCAGCUAUUUAAAAACAAAAUAUCCACCUUAUUCUGUAAGCACUACUUUUACUUGACCAAUUAAACCAGAGAGCAAAAUUCUACCUACCACACCACAGUGCCGCAGAGAGAAACAUAAUCUACCUACCACACCACAGUGCCGCAGAGAGAGACAUAAUCUACCUCUACCUACCACACCACAGUGCCGCAGAGAGACAUAAUCUACCUACCACACCACAGUGCCGCAGAGAGACAUAAUCUACCUCUACCUACCACACCACAGUGCUGCAGAGAGAAACAUAAUC
ensembl:lncRNA